rnacentral:rRNA from 1 species
GUCCUAGCCCUAAACGAUGAAUACUUGGUGUCUGGAGUUUUUAUCCUCCGGGUGCCGUCGCUAACGUUUUAAGUAUUCCGCCUGGGGAGUACGCACGCAAGUGUGAAACUCAAAGGAAUUGACGGGGACCCGCACAAGCGGUGGAGCAUGUGGUUUAAUUCGACGCAACGCGAAGAACCUUACCUGGACUAGAAUGUGAGGGAAGGACUUCUAAUAGAGUCCGUCCGGGCAACCGGACCCAAAACAAGGUGCUGCAUGGCUGUCGU